rnacentral:ncRNA from 1 species
UUAUCGGAGAGUUUGAUCCUGGCUCAGGACGAACGCUGGCGGCGUGCCUAAUACAUGCAAGUCGAGCGGAUUGAUGGGAGCUUGCUCCCUGAUAUCAGCGGCGGACGGGUGAGUAACACGUGGGUAACCUGCCUGUAAGACUGGGAUAACU